rnacentral:sRNA from 1 species
CCAUAGGGAGGCCAGGCGUGGAGGCGGCACCGGGCUCGGAGCUGGCCAGGGUCCCCUCGCCUAUGGAGCACACAGCCACCACAGGCCCCAGGCCUGGACCUCCCCCUCGGCGGGUGGAGAAUGUUGUGCUACCAGCCAAGGACUGGCUGCCAGGACCUCCUGGGGGCACCGCAGUGUGGGCCACCAGCUCGGAAGCAGAGGUCCCACCAGAUCUAGCGCUCAAUAAGGAGCAGCAGUUGCAGAUCUCCAAGGAGCUGGUCGACAUUCAGAUCACAACCCACCACCUACAGGAGCAGCACGAGGCUGAAAUCUUCCAGCUGAAGAGUGAGAUCCUUUGGCUGGAGAGCCGAGUGCUGGAGCUGGAGCUGCAUGGAGAUCCCACCAGCCAGGGCUGUGCAGUCCCAGUGGAGUCUGACCCCAGGCACCCCCGGGCACCAGCCCAAGAGCUCAGACACAAAGCCCGGGUGCCUGGACACUCUGAUGAUCGCAGAUUCCAGGUGCAGCCCAAGAACGCCGUGAACCCCGAGAACGAGCAGCACAGCCUGGGGAGCGGCGUGAGUGUGCAGCCACCUAGCUCAGGGGAGAGGGCAGCACCAGAGACCCCAAGCCUACGGUCUCAUCCAGCCAGCCCUGUGUGCCCCACAGCUGCUGGGGGGCCAGGAGCAGCUGCAGGGAGAAGUGAAGUGGGCGCUGGAGCGUCAAGAGGCCCGGCAGCAGGCACUGGAGAUGCGUGUGGCAGCCCUGGGCCGGCAGCUGCAGGGAGCCCGAGAGGAGGCCAGGGCAGCCGGGCAGCGACUAGCCACACAGGCUGUGGUGCUGUGCAGCUGCCGAGGCCAGCUCCAUCAGGCAGAGGCCGAGAACGCCCGGCUGCAGCUGCAGCUCAAGAAACUGAAGGACGAGUAUGUCCUGCGGCUGCAGCACUGCGCCCGGGAGGCAGUGGAGCACGCAGAUGGUACAGGCCAAGCGCCAGCUACCACGGCCCUCCGGACAUUCCUGGAGGCGACUCUGGAGGACAUCCGGGCAGCGCACCGCAGCCGUGAGCAGCAACUGGCCCGGGCUGCCCGCACCUACCACAAGAGGCUGGUGGAUCUCAGCCGCAGGCAUGAGGAGUUGCUGGUUGCCUACAGGGCACCUGGGAACCCCCAAGCUAUUUUUGACGCAGCCAGCUUGGACCUGGAACCAUUGCCCGUGCCCCUGGUCACUGACUUCAGCCAUCGGGAGGACCAGCAUGGGGCACUGCUCUCAUCCCCAAAGAAGGGACCCGGUGGAGCCUCCCAGGGAGGAACGUCAGAGCCACAGGGCCUGGACGCUGCAUCCUGGGCCCAGAUCCACCAGAAGCUCCGGGACUUCUUCCGCAGCACCCAGGUAGGAGGCAAGGGCUGGCCCAGGCCCCUCCUCACACCAUGCCCCAGCUCAUGGCUUACACCCCCAUGCCAGGCAGAGCUGGAACGGGAGCGGGCACAGCUGCUGGUCCGGGCCACGAUGGCUGAAGAGCAACUUUCUGAGCUACAGGAGUACGUGGACCAGCACCUGGGCAGGUACAAACACGAAAUCCUGAGGCUGAGGAAGCUGGCAGGUGCAGGGGACCCCUGGAAAGUGGGGGCUGUGCCUCCAGCCAAGCCCCAGCAUCCAAGGACCGGCAGCCACUAGGCCGUCUCCCAAGGAGCAGAGCAGAGCCCGUCACAGCCAGCACGGAGCCCUCCCACCCAGCCCCCCAUGAAACAUGAGUCAGGAUACAACCCA